AUUGAACGCUGGCGGCAGGCCUAACACAUGCAAGUCGAACGAGUGGCGGACGGGUGAGUAAUGUCUGGGAAACUGCCUGAUGGAGGGGGAUAACUACUGGAAACGGUAGCUAAUACCGCAUACCAUCGGAUGUGCCCAGAUGGGAUUAGCUAGUAGGUGGGGUAAAGGCUCACCUAGGCGACGAUCCCUAGCUGGUCUGAGAGGAUGACCAGACACACGGGAACUGAGACACGGUCCAGACUCCUACGGGAGGCAGCAGUGGGGAAUAUUGCACAAUUGGCGCAAGCCUGAUGCAGCAAUGCGGCGUGUAUGAAGAAGGCCUGCGGGUUGUAAAGUACUUUCAGCGGGGAGGCGUUACCCGCAUAAGAAGCACCGGCUAACUCCGGGCCAGCAGCCGCGGUAAUUC
rnacentral:rRNA from 1 species